rnacentral:rRNA from 1 species
UGCAGUCGAGCGAACUGAUUAGAAGCUUGCUUCUAUGACGUUAGCGGCGGACGGGUGAGUAACACGUGGGCAACCUGCCUGUAAGACUGGGAUAACUCCGGGAAACCGGAGCUAAUACCGGAUAACAUUUUUUCUUGCAUAAGAGAAAAUUGAAAGAUGGUUUCGGCUAUCACUUACAGAUGGGCCCGCGGUGCAUUAGCUAGUUGGUGAGGUAACGGCUCACCAAGGCAACGAUGCAUAGCCGACCUGAGAGGGUGAUCGGCCACACUGGGACUGAGACACGGCCCAGACUCCUACGGGAGGCAGCAGUAGGGAAUCUUCCGCAAUGGACGAAAGUCUGACGGAGCAACGCCGCGUGAGUGAUGAAGGCUUUCGGGUCGUAAAACUCUGUUGUUAGGGAAGAACAAGUACAAGAGUAACUGCUUGUACCUUGACGGUACCUAACCAGAAAGCCACGGCUAACUACGUGCCAGCAGCCGCGGUAAUACGUAGGUGGCAAGCGUUAUCCGGAAUUAUUGGGCGUAAAGCGCGCGCAGCGGUUUCUUAAGUCUGAUGUGAAAGCCCACGGCUCAACCGUGGAGGGUCAUUGGAAACUGGGGAACUUGAGUGCAGA